rnacentral:RNase_P_RNA from 1 species
GCAGAUGGUCGGAGAGGUGCUGCGGUGACGCAGAGGAAAGUCCGAACUCUAUAAAGACACGGUGCCGGAUAACGUCCGGCGAGGGCAACCUUAGGGAAAGUGCAACAGAAAGUAAACCGCCUGGCAACAGGUAAGGGUGAAAGGGUGUGGUAAGAGCGCACCGCGCCUUUGGUAACAAAGGUGGCACGGCAAACCCCACCGAGAGCAAGACCAAAUAGGGGUGGCGCAUGACCUGUCUUUGGGUCGUCACCCGGGUCGGUCGCAUGAGGCAUAAGGUAACUUAUGUCCCAGAUGAAUACCUCUCCCCUGGGUUUCCAGGGACAGAAUUCGGCUUACAGACCAUCUGCUUAU